rnacentral:rRNA from 1 species
UACGGAGGGAGCUAGCGUUGUUCGGAAUUACUGGGCGUAAAGCGCACGUAGGCGGCUUUGUAAGUUAGAGGUGAAAGCCCGGGGCUCAACUCCGGAACUGCCUUUAAGACUGCAUCGCUUGAAUCCAGGAGAGGUGAGUGGAAUUCCGAGUGUAGAGGUGAAAUUCGUAGAUAUUCGGAAGAACACCAGUGGCGAAGGCGAGUCCCUGGACAACUCCUGACACUGAGGCACGAAAGCUAGGGGAGCAAACAGG